UACGAAGGGGGCGAGCGUUGCUCGGAAUUACUGGGCGUAAAGCGCGCGUAGGCGGAUCGUUAAGUCGGGGGUGAAAUCCUGGAGCUCAACUCCAGAACUGCCUUUGAUACUGGCGAUCUUGAGUCCGGGAGAGGUGAGUGGAACUCCGAGUGUAGAGGUGAAAUUCGUAGAUAUUCGGAAGAACACCAGUGGCGAAGGCGGCUCACUGGCCCGGUACUGACGCUGAGGUGCGAAAGCGUGGGGAGCGAACAGG
rnacentral:rRNA from 1 species